rnacentral:misc_RNA from 1 species
AAGUCGUAACAAGGUUUCCGUAGGUGAACCUGCGGAAGGAUCAUUAUUGAGAUACUUUCACACUGUGAACAAGUUACUUGUUUGGCCGAAAGGCCACUUUUACUACAUUUUAUAUUGAAUCAAAACGAAAAUCAAAACUUUCAACAACGGAUCUCUUGGUUCUC